AUGUCAAUGUCCAGUUCAGCCUCUCGCCCCUCAUGGCCGCUGUAUGGUGCAGUGCCGAUGAGCAGGUGCACGGACUGCCCACAGAUCGCGCCAUUGAAGCGUUUGACAACCAAGUCGGGGGACAAUGGAAACUAUGGGCACGAAUUUGUGAAAUGCGAGAGAAAACCAGAGGCGGGCAAGAAUCUGAAGAAAUGCAAGCAUUUUGAGUGGCUGGAUGAAUACAUUGAGAGGCUUCAAUUGGAGGGCUCAACUGAUUUGAGGCAGGAGGAAACCUAA
rnacentral:rRNA from 1 species